rnacentral:rRNA from 1 species
CUCGUAGGCGGUUCGUCGCGUCCGGUGUGAAAGUCCAUCGCUUAACGGUGGAUCCGCGCCGGGUACGGGCGGGCUUGAGUGCGGUAGGGGAGACUGGAAUUCCCGGUGUAACGGUGGAAUGUGUAGAUAUCGGGAAGAACACCAAUGACGAAGGCAGGUCUCUGGGCCGUUACUGACGCUGAGGAGCGAAAGCGUGGGGAGCGAACA